AUGCUCUCAGUAAUGGGUAGGAAAGGUCCGUCCUCCAUGACCAUAGGGCCUGUUGCCCUGGUAACUGUGUCUGAUCCUGAGACUGUUAGAAAUAGCACAACAACUGACAUGGGCAACGGAGACCUCCUGGUGACUGUUGAUGAUGUCCCUGAGGGGGAGUUUGUGGUCAUCCUUAAAGGAACUGACAAAGUGUCAGGCAGUGAAUUUCAGAGACAGUCUACCACCCAGAUGUCUGUCUCCAAAGUGAACAUCAAGGCUGUGGUGGAGAGCAAUAUGGAGCCAGGUAAAGACUUCAAUCUCCCCUUCAGUGUCAUGACCCAGGGCUCUGGUGGUCAAUACUCCAUCAGCGCCAAAAACGAUAACAAAUUCCUCAUGUCCUACCCAACCAGGCUCACCUUGACAACGGGACAAUAUACUAAUUCUACUUUGACCAUCACGCCACCUGCCAACACACCAUCAGGCACUGACGUCACUCUGACUCUGGAAGCCAAGUUGUCAGGAGGUGUUGACUCCAAUUACGUCGUUUUGAGAAUCUCUGUUGUUACCAAGAUUACAGAUUUUGUUCAGCCCUUUUGUGAAGUGGUGCAUGUGCUGGCUGAUGAUUGCCCUCAAGAAGUGUUUCAGUGUGAACUUUUCCAGUGGGAGCUUAUGGCCACCCUUACAGAUGGAAAUGGUACCGGAAUAGAGACCGUUUCACUGCACCAGGGCAGUGGAAACUUAACAACCACCUCGCUGAGUGAUCCCAUCAUCCAGGCUAACUACACAGCCUCCUGCUGCUCGCAGAUUGUUGAGUUUGUAGCUGUAGAUCAAGUUGGAAAUGUGGGCAAGUGCUACCACUCCAUUGUACGUUCUGCAGGCCCUCCUGUCUUAACAGGGUCUCUGCCACUGUGGUUGUGCCUGCUGGUAUCUGCCUUUGUAACGAGGAUUUGAAGGGCUUAAGUGAGGUUGUCUUACUCUGCAUCAGAUAUUGGAUACAUCAUUUACCACAAAUUUAUUUUAAACAAACUUCAUUAUGGUGAUGGUUAUCUAAUAAUCAGAUAUCUUGCUCAAAUAAACGUGAGCAUUAAAAAGGAAACAGAUGAUGGAUGUGUACAUGUUUUCCUAGAUUAAUUAUUUAUAAAAAAAAACACAUGAAAUAUUAUUCAAUUGGAAAUGGGAUAAUGAACCUUCUCUACAUAAUGAAUUAUGAUCCAUUCAAAUAAAAAAAAUGUCAUUCAUCAACAUUGCAUUCUGUACUAUAAUGGUGGCAGAAAUGUGUUUUGUGUAACUUUAGGAGAAACAAGCGUGAUGAACACCCAUGUCAUUUGCAACAUGUUGGUCAUUUUAAAUACAUAUUGCCAUGUAAAAUAAAGGCC
rnacentral:lncRNA from 1 species